GACGAACGCUGGCGGCGUGCCUAAUACAUGCAAGUAGAACGCUGAAGGAGGAGCUUGCUUCUCUGGAUGAGUUGCGAACGGGUGAGUAACGCGUAGGUAACCUGCCUGGUAGCGGGGGAUAACUAUUGGAAACGAUAGCUAAUACCGCAUAAUAGUAGAUGUUGCAUGACAUUUGCUUAAAAGGUGCAAUUGCAUCACUACCAGAUGGACCUGCGUUGUAUUAGCUAGUUGGUGAGGUAACGGCUCACCAAGGCGACGAUACAUAGCCGACCUGAGAGGGUGAUCGGCCACACUGGGACUGAGACACGGCCCAGACUCCUACGGGAGGCAGCAGUAGGGAAUCUUCGGCAAUGGACGGAAGUCUGACCCGAGCAAACGCCGCGUGAAGUGAAGAAGGUUUUCGGA
rnacentral:rRNA from 1 species